rnacentral:rRNA from 1 species
CUGCAGUCGACGGGAUUAUUUUGUAGCAAUACAGAAAUAAUUUAGUGGCGAACGGGUGCGUAACACGUGGGCAAUCUGCCGAAAAGUGGGGGAUAGCUCGCCGAAAGGCGAAUUAAUACCGCAUGUGGUGAGGGACGACAUCUUCCUGAAUCCAAAGCCGGGGUCAAACCUGGCGCUUUUUGAGGAGCCCGCGGCCUAUCAGCUAGUUGGUGAGGUAACGGCCCACCAAGGCUUUGACGGGUAGCUGGUCUGAGAGGACGACCAGUCACACUGGAACUGAGACACGGUCCAGACACCUACGGGUGGCAGCAGUCGAGAAUUUUUCUCAAUGGGGGCAACCCUGAAGGAGCGACGCCGCGUGGAGGAUGAAGGCUUUCGGGUUGUAAACUCCUGUCAUUUGGGAACAAGUUGUACGUAUUUACCGUACGUGCAUUGAUAGUACCAGAAGAGGAAGGGACGGCUAACUCUGUGCCAGCAGCCGCGGUAAUACAGAGGUCCCAAGCGUUGUUCGGAUUCAUUGGGCGUAAAGGGUGCGUAGGUGGCGCCGUAAGUCGGGUGUGAAAUUUCGGAGCUUAACUCCGAAACUGCAUUCGAUACUGCGGUGCUUGAGGACUGGAGAGGAGACUGGAAUUCAUGGUGUAGCAGUGAAAUGCGUAGAGAUCAUGAGGAAGACCAGUGGCGAAGGCGGGUCUCUGGACAGUUCCUGACACUGAGGCACGAAGGCCAGGGGAGCAAACGGGAUUAGAUACCCCGGUAGUCCUGGCAGUAAACGGUGCACGUUUGGUGUGGGAGGAUUCGACCCCUUCCGCGCCGGAGCUAACGCGUUAAACGUGCCGCCUGGGGAGUACGGUCGCAAGAUUAAAACUCAAAGAAAUUGACGGGGGCCCGCACAAGCGGUGGAGUAUGUGGCUUAAUUCGAUGCAACGCGAGGAACCUUACCAGGCCUUGACAUGCAUUUCUAAGCGGUGAAAGCCCGUGAGUCUCGAAAGAGAUAACUUGCACAGGUGCUGCAUGGCUGUCGUCAGCUCGUGUCGUGAGAUGUUGGGUUAAGUCCCGCACGAGCGC